GUGAGGAAUAUUGGACAAUGGGCGCAAGCCUGAUCCAGCCAUGCCGCGUGCAGGAAGACGCAUCUAUGGUGUGUAAACUGCUUUUGUACGGGAAGAAACACUCCCUCGUGAGGGAGCUUGACGGUACCGUAAGAAUAAGGGUCGGCUAACUCCGUGCCAGCAGCCGCGGUAAUACGGAGGAUCCAAGCGUUAUCCGGAAUCAUUGGGUUUAAAGGGUCCGUAGGCGGUUUAAUAAGUCAGUGGUGAAAGCCCAUCGCUCAACGAUGGAACGGCCAUUGAUACUGUUAGACUUGAAUUACAAGGAAGUAACUAGAAUAUGUAGUGUAGCGGUGAAAUGCUUAGAUAUUACAUGGAAUACCAAUUGCGAAGGCAGGUUACUACUUGUGGAUUGACGCUGAUGGACGAAAGCGUGGGGAGCGAACAGGAUUAGAAACCCUGGUAGUCC
rnacentral:rRNA from 1 species